GACGAACGCUGGCGGCGUGCCUAAUACAUGAGAGUCGAGCAAACUUGCAUAGAUGAAUUUAGUGAUAGCAAAAAAUGAAAAAAGAUAAACAAAAAAGAAGGAAGGGUAAGCAACAAAAAGACAAAAAACCCAAGACACUGGGAUAACACCUGGAAACAGAUGCUAAUACCGGAUAACAACACUAGACGCAUGUCUAGAGUUUAAAAGAUGGUUCUGCUAUCACUCUUGGAUGGACCUGCGGUGCAUUAGCUAGUUGGUAAGGCAACGGCUUACCAAGGCAAUGUUUUUUUUUCUUUUGGGUUGGUGGAUGUGCCACAUUGGGACUGAGACACGGCCCAAACUCCUACGGGAGGCAGCAGUAGGGAAUCUUCCACAAUGGACGCAAGUCUGAUGGAGCAACGCCGCGUGAGUGAAGAAGGGUUUCGGGUCGUAAAGCUCUGUUGGUAGUGUAGAAAGAUAGAGGUAGUAACUGGCCUUUAUUUGACGGUAAUUACUUAGAAAGUCACGGCUAACUACGU
rnacentral:rRNA from 1 species